UAGGACCCACCACAGCCAGGGGAACACCAGCUGUGUCUUAUGCACAGGAAGUCACGGAGCAAGGCAGCCAUGCGUUCAAGUAAAAAAAAAUUUAAAAGAAAAAGAAAGAAAAGUGGGAGCUUCGUAAACACUUAGUUCCUGAUUAAGCGAUAAGCUCAUGGCCACUUGCAGAGAGUCUUUCUAGGACAGCAGCAACCAGCCAGGCUGAGUCACAGAGGUGGAGCCCCAGAGAAGCCUCAGAGGGAGCUGGGCGCACUAGUAAUAUCAGUCGCAGCAGCUGCAGAGUGACUCCUUCUGUGAACAGACAGCAGAGCGAGGAGAAUUUGGGUCCUGGAGUGGCAACAACCAAACACAACUAUUAUUCCUUUCUGUGUUUCUCUUGGUACAAGGCCAAUGAUUGUGACUGAUCUUUAGACAAUGAGAUUUCCAAAGGAAAGUAUUUUAUCUUCAUUUUCUCAGCUUCAGAAGUAUGUGACUUUUAUCCCAAACACGUUUCUCUUUUAUUAGUAAAACAAACAAGCAAACAAAAACCCAGAAACCAAAAACCAGACUUUCAGCACUUAGAACUUGC
rnacentral:lncRNA from 1 species